rnacentral:tRNA from 9 species
GUUAAUGUAGCUUAUAUAAAGCAAAGCACUGAAAAUGCUUAGAUGGAUGCAAGCAUCCCAUAAACA